GGGCGGCCUCGAUUGCUGGUUCUUCGAUGGAAGCAACGGCGGCGGACUAAGAGAAGAAGCGUAGCUGUUGGGUUUGGUUAGUGCGAAGCGGUGGAUUCUAAACAUAGUGAAUGUGAGAGGAAGAGAGAGAGAGAGAUGAAGUAAAGGGUUCAAGGGAGAUUUGAUUUUGCCAUUUUGGGAGGCUCUUCGAGGAGAAGAGAGAGGUUUGAAAUGUGGAUGAUCCGAUUGCUGUUGGAUGGGUCGAAGAUAGUCG
rnacentral:misc_RNA from 1 species